GAGUUUGAUCCUGGCUCAGGAUGAACGCUGGCGGCGUGCCUAACACAUGCAAGUCGAACGGAUCCAUAUUGAAACCUAGUGAUGUAUGGAUUAGUGGCGGACGGGUGAGUAACGCGUGGAUAACCUGCCGUAUACAGGGGGAUAACACUUAGAAAUAGGUGCUAAUACCGCAUAAGCGCACGGUUCCGCAUGGAACAGUGUGAAAAACUCCGGUGGUAUACGAUGGAUCCGCGUCUGAUUAGCCAGUUGGCGGGGUAACGGCCCACCAAAGCGACGAUCAGUAGCCGGCCUGAGAGGGUGAACGGCCACAUUGGGACUGAGACACGGCCCAAACUCCUACGGGAGGCAGCAGUGGGGAAUAUUGCACAAUGGGGGAAACCCUGAUGCAGCGACGCCGCGUGAGUGAAGAAGUAUUUCGGUACGUAAAGCUCUAUCAGCAGGGAAGAAAAUGACGGUACCUGACUAAGAAGCCCCGGCUAACUACGUGCCAGCAGCCGCGGUAAUACGUAGGGGGCAAGCGUUAUCCGGAUUUACUGGGUGUAAAGGGAGCGUAGACGGCAGCGCAAGUCUGGAGUGAAAUGCCGGGGCCCAACCCCGGAACUGCUUUGGAAACUGUGCAGCUCGAGUGCAGGAGAGGUAAGCGGAAUUCCUAGUGUAGCGGUGAAAUGCGUAGAUAUUAGGAGGAACACCAGUGGCGAAGGCGGCUUACUGGACUGUAACUGACGU
rnacentral:rRNA from 1 species